UACGGAGGGUGCAAGCGUUAUCCGGAAUCACUGGGUUUAAAGGGUGCGUAGGCGGUCCAAUAAGUCAGCUGUGAAAUCGCUGGGCUCAACCCAUGCAAUUGCAGUUGAUACUGUCGGACUUGAAUAGGUUUGAGGCUAGCGGAAUGCGACAUGUAGCGGUGAGAUGCUUAGAUAUGUCGCAGAACACCGAUUGCGAAGGCAGCUAGCUGGGCCCUUAUUGACGCUGAGGCACGAAAGCGUGGGGAGCAAACAGG
rnacentral:rRNA from 1 species